AACGAACGCUGGCGGCAUGCCUAACACAUGCAAGUCGAACGAGACCUUCGGGUCUAGUGGCGCACGGGUGCGUAACGCGUGGGAACCUGCCCUUAGGUUCGGAAUAACUCCCCGAAAGGGGUGCUAAUACCGGAUAAUGUCUUCGGACCAAAGAUUUAUCGCCUUUGGAUGGGCCCGCGUUGGAUUAGCUAGUUGGUAGGGUAAAAGCCUACCAAGGCGACGAUCCAUAGCUGGUCUGAGAGGAUGAUCAGCCACACUGGGACUGAGACACGGCCCAGACUCCUACGGGAGGCAGCAGUGGGGAAUAUUGGACAAUGGGCGAAAGCCUGAUCCAGCAAUGCCGCGUGAGUGAUGAAGGCCUUAGGGUUGUACAGCUCUUUUACCCGGGAUGAUAAUGACAGUACCGGGAGAAUAAGCUCCGGCUAACUCCGUG
rnacentral:rRNA from 1 species